rnacentral:rRNA from 1 species
AACGAACGCUGGCGGCAUGCCUAACACAUGCAAGUCGAACGAGACCUUCGGGUCUAGUGGCGCACGGGUGCGUAACGCGUGGGAACCUGCCCUUAGGUUCGGAAUAACUCCCCGAAAGGGGUGCUAAUACCGGAUAAUGUCUUCGGACCAAAGAUUUAUCGCCUUUGGAUGGGCCCGCGUUGGAUUAGCUAGUUGGUAGGGUAAAAGCCUACCAAGGCGACGAUCCAUAGCUGGUCUGAGAGGAUGAUCAGCCACACUGGGACUGAGACACGGCCCAGACUCCUACGGGAGGCAGCAGUGGGGAAUAUUGGACAAUGGGCGAAAGCCUGAUCCAGCAAUGCCGCGUGAGUGAUGAAUGCCUUAGGGUUGUAAAGCUCUUUUACCCGGGAUGAUAAUGACAGUACCGGGAGAAUAAGCUCCGGCUAACUCCGUG